rnacentral:misc_RNA from 1 species
AGAGAGAGAUCCCCAGCUCA